GGUUUUUUGAAGUUAAAUAAAAAAUCUGGCCUGCCCACUGAGGUUAAUUUAAGGGCUGCAGUAUAUUGACUGUACAAAGGUAGCAUAAUCAUUAGUCUUCUAAUUAAGGACUGGUAUGAAUGGUUAAACGGAGUUUGUCUGUCUCUAAGAUUUAUAUUGAAUUUAUUUUCUUGUGAAAAAACAAGAAUAAAGUAAAGGGACAAAAAGACCCUAUUAAACUUAAUUUUUAUUUUAAUAUUAUUAUAGUUAUUAGAUUAAUAUUUGAGAGAAUUUUUACUGGGGCGGUAAGUUUGAUACAUAAAUUUUUUAUAAUAAAUUAAUAGCAUAAAAUAAAGAUCCAAUAGGUUGAUAAAGAGAAUAAGUUACUAUAGGGAUAACAGCGUAAUAUUUUCUGAGAGUUCUUAUUGACAAAUUUGUUUGCGACCUCGAUGUUGGAUUAAGAAGUCUGAUUAACGCAGUAGUUUGUUAAGAUGGUCUGUUCGACCUUUAAUAUCUU
rnacentral:rRNA from 1 species